GUGUUCGCUUCGGCAGCACAUAUACUAAAAUUGGAACAAUACAGAGAAGUUAGCAUGGCCCCUGCGCAAGAAUGACACGUAAAAUGAAGAAAAACAAGGUGGCAAAUACUU